rnacentral:rRNA from 1 species
UGGGGGAUAUUGCGCAAUGGGGGAAACCCUGACGCAGCAACGCCGCGUGAAGGAAGAAGGUUUUCGGAUCGUAAACUUCUGUUCUUAGGGAAGAAGAAAGUGACGGUACCUAAGGAGCAAGCCACGGCUAACUACGUGCCAGCAGCCGCGGUAAUACGUAGGUGGCAAGCGUUGUCCGGAUUUACUGGGUGUAAAGGGCGCGUAGGCGGGAUAUCAAGUCAGUCGUGAAAUACCGGGGCUCAACUCCGGGGCUGCGAUUGAAACUGAUAUUCUUGAGUAUCGGAGAGGAAAGCGGAAUUCCUAGUGUAGCGGUGAAAUGCGUAGAUAUUAGGAGGAACACCAGUGGCGAAGGCGGCUUUCUGGACGACAACUGACGCUGAGGCGCGAAAGUGUGGGGAGCAAACAGG